rnacentral:tRNA from 2 species
AGUAGCUCAGCUGGAUAGAGCAACGGCCUUCUAAGCCGUGGGUCGGGGGUUCGAAUCCCUCCUG